rnacentral:rRNA from 1 species
AUUGAACGCUGGCGGCAGGCUUAACACAUGCAAGUCGAGCGGUAACAGAGAGGUGCUUGCACCUUUGCUGACGAGCGGCGGACGGGUGAGUAACGCGUAGGAAUCUACCUAGUAGUGGGGGAUAGCCCAGAGAAAUUUGGAUUAAUACCGCAUACGCCCUACGGGGGAAAGGAGGGGAUCUUCGGACCUUUCGCUAUUAGAUGAGCCUGCGUGAGAUUAGCUUGUUGGUGAGGUAAAGGCUCACCAAGGCGACGAUCUCUAGCUGGUCUGAGAGGAUGAUCAGCCACACUGGGACUGAGACACGGCCCAGACUCCUACGGGAGGCAGCAGUGGGGAAUAUUGCACAAUGGGGGGAACCCUGAUGCAGCCAUGCCGCGUGUGUGAAGAAGGCCUCGGUU